UCCUUCCUACUAGGCCUGGGUCCUCAGGGUAGAGGGCUGUGCCCAUAGAGGAGGUCCAGGGGUCAUUGUCUAACUUCGCUCUGUAGUAAAGGCUAUUGAUUAAGGACUGCCCCAGCAGGCAGGCCUAGUGAGGGAGGGGAUUACAACCCCAAGUGGGACUGAAGAUAGCAUGAAAACCACAGGGGGAUGGAUGGGUAUGUGCGCCUUUGCAUCCCACGCUAUGAAGCCUCAUUUAUAUUCCGUAUUGUGGUAUGGAAGCUGCAUGCACACAUUAUUAACACCUUAGCAUGUACACACUGGCCAUGGCCUGCAUGUUCUGAGUUCACUCGGCUUCUGGAGGCCGUAUGGACAGGGCCUGUACCAGCAAACACUGACUACUCAGGGGUCCAAGAAGUGUCCAGACAUUUGGAGCAUAAAAGAUGGCAAGGGUGGUAACACGAGGGAUUCAGGCACAAGCCUCAGAGCUGUCUGAGAAGAUCUCAGUGCCAGGCGUGGGAUUCUUCCCUAAAGUUGUUUUCCAGAGAGGCCCCAGAGCCUCCCCCAAAGCAUAGUUUAUUGCCAUCACUCUUGGUUGCCUACCAGAACUAGACAGUGAGACUGUAUUGCUGAAGACACAACAAGCUUUGGUUUUAGGACAUAGAUAAACCAAGCUUUCUGACUGUUGAUGUUUGUUUGUUUUUGUUUUUCGAGACAGGGUUUCUCUGUGUAGCUUUGGAGGCUGUCCUGGCACUCACUCUGGAGACCAGGCUGGCCUCGAACUCACAGAGAUCCGCCUGCCUCUGCCUCCUGAGUGCUGGGAUUAAAGGCGUGCACCACCAACGCCCGGCCUGACUGUUGAUACUUAUUUUCGUAAACUAGUGCUGCCCUCAAUCUGGCCAGAGAAACUUCUCUCUGCUGUGGUCACUGGUAAAUGCAGAGACUCACUUUUCAAAGUGCUGAGAAUAAAUUACUAUUGAGUGCUUAGCCUUAAGCAGGACAUUUAUCUCAACGCACGCGCGUGCACACACACACACACACACACACACACACACACACACACACACACACACACACACACACUGCAAGGCUCAGGAACAUCAUGGAAGAGGAGGCAUAAGGAAUGUAAGAACCAGAGGAUAGGGAGAAGUGCUGUCUUUUGGGCAUGGCAUGACCUAUUUCACCCGCAAACUCAAUGAAGCUAUGAUUACUUGCACAAGACCUAUAUAAGAUCAAGCCAUCUGAAACAGUCAACAUUCCAACCGGCAGCCCCAAGUGGACUCGGUGGUUCCUGGGAGCCUGUCGUUGGGGCACUGAAAACUUUGGCUGGUCUGUGGCGGGAGUCGGAUCUCCAGAAGGGAGCUCCGGCCAUCCCGGAAGGAUGUCUCUACAUCAAGCCAGUGGGUCUCAGAGGUCGUAUCAGUCAAG
rnacentral:lncRNA from 1 species